rnacentral:lncRNA from 1 species
AAAAUAAAAUCCCUCAACCCAUAGUCCACAAAAUCACAAAGUCCACAAAUAAAAACCCAAAAACCCAAACCCACAAAGUCCACAAACAAAAACCCAAAAUCCACAAAGUCCACAAAGCCCACGAAUAAACAUCCAAAACCCAAAGUUCACAAAUAAAAAUCCAAAAUCCAAAAUCCAAAGUCUACAAAUAAAACCCAACCAAAUCUAUCAAACCUAUGUCACCCAAAUACCUCCAACCCAAACCAAAUUCAUGGGCUUCCCAAAUGGGCCCCUCACUAUGAAUUAAUUCUAUGAAUUAAUUUUUUGGGCUUUCCAAAUGUAUUCCCUAUCGCGAAUUAAUUCUAUGAAUUAGUUUCAGGGGUCCUCUUUGUCAUAAAUUAAUAUGAUGAACCAAUGGGCUCUCCAAAUGGCCCGCUAUCAUGAAUUAAUUUCAUCAAUUAAUACAAUGGACUUUACAAACGGGCUCCUAGCAUGAAUUAAUUUCAUGAAUCAGCUUCAUGAACAUCUCAAUUUCAAACGACCGAAAAGUCGCUAAACUAAACCCGAAUCCAAACGACCGAAAUGUCGCUAAACUAAACCCAUAUUCAAACGACCGAAAAGUCGUUAAACUAAACCCAUAUUCAAACGACCGAAAAGUCGUUAAACUAAAUCCAAAUUUCAAACGACCGAAAAGUCGUUAAACUAAACCCAAAUUCCUUGAACCAUGAACCAAAUCCAUACACCGAACCCAUGAACCAUAUCCAAGUUCAUGAACCAAAUCCAUACACCAAACCCAUGAACCAUAUCCAAGUCUAUGAACCAAAUCCAUACACCAAUUCCAUGAACCAUAUAAGUUCAUGAACCAAGUCCAUACACAAGUUCAUGAACCAAGUCCAUACAUCAAAUUCAUAAACCAUAUCCAAGUCUAUGAACCAAAUCCAUACACCAAUUCCAUGAACCAUAUAAGUUCAUGAACCAAGUCCAUACACAAGUCCAUGAACCAUAUAAGUUCAUGAACCAAGUCCAUACAUCAAAUUCAUGAACCAUAUCCAAAUUCAUGAACCAAAUCUCCUGAGCCAAUACUCAAAUCUCAUGAACCAAUACCUAAAUCUCAUCAUGAACCUUUUUUACUCUGGCACAUAUACCUAGAGUAAAAAUUAAAUAUCGAUUAUCCCUAAUACAUAUAUUUAGGGCCAUGUCAAUCGCCUUGGCACAUAUAACUAAGGCGAAACAUCUCCAAAUCGACAGAGUUCUAAGUCAUAUACUUAGAAUUCAGUCAAAUGAUAUCAAGUUUAUUCGAACUCUAACAUAUAUACUUAGAGUUCAUCCGACUAACCCUAACACAUAUACUUAGGGUCUAGUCAGCCUUUUGCUCUAGCACAUAUACCUAGAGUGGAAGUCAAGCCAUGCUCGACUAACCCUAACACAUAUACUUAGGGUCUAGUCAGCCUUUUGCUCUAGUACAUAUACCUAGAGUGGAAGUCAAACCGUGCUCGACUAGUCCUAACCCAUAUACUUAGGGUCUAGUUAGCCUUUCGCUCUAGCACAUAUACCUAGAGUGAAAUCCUUACCCGAUCGAGCUCUAAUACAUAUACUUAGAGUUCAAAUCCGACUACCCCUAAUACAUAUACUUAGGGCUUAGUCAGACCUUCAUUCUAGCACAUAUAACUAGAGUGAAACUCGGUUUAUCCUGAUACAUAUACUCGGGAAUUAGCCACUCUCCACUUUCGGGUAAUUCGACUCACCUCAAUACAUAUACUUGAGGUCUGGUCACAUCUCCACCUUGGAACAUACAACCAAGGUGAAUAUAAUCGGACUCUAAGACAUAUACUUAGAGCCAAUUAGACUCUAAUACAUAGAGUUUAAUAUCGACUAGAUCUUAACACAUAUACUUAGGAUCUAGUUCGACCCACCUCAAUACAUAUACUUGAGGUCUGGUCACAUCUCCAUCUUGGAACAUAUAACCAAGGUGGACAUAAUCGGACUCUAAGACAUAUACUUAGAGCCAAUUAGACUCUAAUACAUAGAGUCUAAUAUUGACUAGGUUUUAACACAUAUACUUAGGACCUAGUCAAUCUCAAAUCCGACUGAAUCCUAAUACAUACACUUAGGAUUCAAUUCAUGUACAGUGGGAGUAUGCCCCUGCUUAAGCCAUAUACACGGCAAAUCAUAUCAAUAAAAUUUUAUUUGCCUGUUUUGUCUCUUUUAUUAUCAGCAUUUAUAUUUGGUCUCUUAAUCGAGGGUUCCUUAACACCGAAAGUGUGGGGUAAUUAACAACAGAUUCUUGAGUCUGUUGGAAACCAUGAACCUAUAAUCCUGAUUUCAAAAUAAAACAUAAACAUAUUUUAUCUCUACCAUGAAUAACCACUCGCCCUAGAAACAACCUACGGCGGGGCCGGUUCGUUCGCGGCAGACAAUUUCAAUGUACUUUAAU